rnacentral:rRNA from 1 species
UACGGGGGAGCAAGCGUUGUUCGGAUUUACUGGGCGUAAAGGGCGCGUAGGCGGCCACCGCAAGUCGACUGUGAAAUCUCCGGGCUUAACCCGGAAAGGUCAGCCGAUACUGCGGGGCUAGAGUGCAGAAGGGGCAACUGGAAUUCUCGGUGUAGCGGUGAAAUGCGUAGAUAUCGAGAGGAACACCUGCGGCGAAGGCGGGUUGCUGGGCUGACACUGACGCUGAGGCGCGAAAGCGUGGGGAGCAAACAGG